ACGAACGCUGGCGGCGUGCUUAACACAUGCAAGUCGAACGUGAUUUUUGUGGAAAUUCUUUCGGGAAUGGAAAUGAAAUGAAAGCGGCGAACGGGUGAGUAACACGUGAGCAACCUACCUUACACAGGGGGAUAGCCGUUGGAAACGACGAUUAAUACCGCAUGAGACCACAGAAUCGCAUGAUAUAGGGGUCAAAGAUUUAUCGGUGUAAGAAGGGCUCGCGUCUGAUUAGCUAGUUGGAAGGGUAAAGGCCUACCAAGGCGACGAUCAGUAGCCGGUCUGAGAGGAUGAACGGCCACAUUGGAACUGAGACACGGUCCAAACUCCUACGGGAGGCAGCAGUGGGGAAUAUUGCACAAUGGGGGGAACCCUGAUGCAGCGACGCCGCGUGAGCGAAGAAGGUUUUCGAAUCGUAAAGCUCUGUCCUAUGAGAAGAUAAUGACGGUAUCAUAGGAGGAAGCCCCGGCUAAAUACGUG
rnacentral:rRNA from 1 species